AGCUUUGCGCAGAGGUAGUAUCGUAGCCAAUGAGGUUUAUCCGAGACGCUAUUAUUGCUGAUUUAAAAGAUACGUAUAUUUAUAUGCACAUAAAUAUACAUAUAUUUUUUCAUGGGUCGCAGGCA
rnacentral:snRNA from 1 species